rnacentral:lncRNA from 1 species
CUCCUGUCGUUAAGAUAAAUUCUCCAGUAGACAACCUCUCCCACUAAUUGUGUAUUAGCAACGUAUUUUAUCUUGAGAGCUUGUACACUGGGCUCUCAACGUGGUGUGGAAGGUAGCCUGUUACAGUGCUGGAUUCAUAAAAGGGCCUUUAUGGUUUGUGAAAGAAUAUCUGUGUGCUUAGGGAGGAAACUUUUUGAUCUGCAGAAAAGCCAGAAGACAUCUAGGACAUCCAUAAAAAUUCAUCAGAGAGCAUUUUACUACUGAGCUGCAAAGGGAAAAACUUAAAAUGGAUAUGAAAAGUGAAGAAAGUGAUCAUAGGAGAAAACCAUUUCAGGUGUCUGAUGAUUUGUGAGCCUCAAGUGACUACUCUGUGGAAUCAUCUGUCCUUGCCUUUGAAUUCGCUUUCCCUAGGCCAUGGGUCAACAUUAGUAGUUUAUACAUCCAAAUUGAUGACAAGAGCACCUCAAAGGCAGCAGCCUCAAGGAGCAGCCAUGGCCCCAGACUUGUCGCACGGAUGCAGAAAACUUAAUGGAGGAGGCUGAGGUCAGAAUGGGAAGAG